GCUAGCAAAGCAAAGAAGAGUUGACCUGUUGGUCAAAACCACCAGAAAUAUGCAAUUAAAACUCAAUGUUAUCAAAAAAUAAAACAGCUAAUUCAAAAACACAGAAUUAAAAGCAGAAUAAUGAAAUAUGUACAUAUUUACAGGAGCUCCUCCUACUUGCUCUCUUAGUCUCUCUCAGAUCCCUGUAUGUGUCUCCUAGACAGCAACGGAACAGUAACUGUAGGAUGCUUGUCAUUCUUCUUCUCUUCUCUUCUCUUCUCCUCUUCUCUUCUUCUCUUCUCUUUUCUUCUCUUCUCUUCUCUUCUGCUCUUCCCUUCCCUUCUCUUCUCCUCUUCUCUUCUUCUCUUCUCUUUUCUUCUCUUCUCUUCUGCUCUUCUCUUCUCCUCUUCUCUUCUUCUCUUCUCUUUUCUUCUUCUCUUCUUCUCUUCUCCUCUUCUCUUCUUCUCUUCUCUUUUCUUCUUCUCUUCUCUUCUUCUCUUCUCUUCCCUUCCCUUCUCUUCUUCUCUUCUCUUCUCUUCUCUUCUCUUCUCUUCUCUUCUCUUCUCUUCUCUUCUCUUCUCCUCUCCUCUCCUCUCUUCUUCUCUUCUCUUAUCUUCUCUUCUUCUCUUCCCUUCCCUUCCCUUCUCUUCUUCUCUUCUCUUCUCUUCUCCUCUCCUCUCCUCUCCUCUCUUCUUCUCUUCUCUUAUCUUCUUCUCUUCUUCUCUUCUCUUCUUCUCUUCUCUUCUUCUCUUCUCUUCUUCUCUUCUCUUUUCUUCUUCUCUUCUCUUCUUCUCUUCUCUUCUUCCCUUCUCUUCUUCUCUUCUCUUCUUCUCUUAUCUUCUUCUCUUCUCUUCUUCUCCUCUCUUCUUCUCUUCUCUUUUCUUCUUCUCUUCUCUUCUCUUCUCCUCUCCUCUCUUCUUCUCUUCUCUUUUCUUCUCUUCUCUUCUUCUCUUCUUCUCUUCUCCUCUUCUUCUCUUCUCUUCUCCUCUUCUCUUCUUCUCUUCUCCUCUUCUCCUCUUCUCUUCUUCUCUUCUCUUCUUCUCUUCCCUUCCCUUCCCUUCUCUUCUUCUCUUCUCUUCUCUUCUCCUCUCCUCUCCUCUCUUCUUCUCUUCUCUUUUCUUCCCUUCUCUUCUUCUCUUCUCUUCUCUUCUCCUCUUCUUCUCUUCUCUUCUCCUCUUCUCUUCUUCUCUUCCCUUCCCUUCCCUUCUCUUCUUCUCUUCUCUUCUCCUCUCCUCUCCUCUCUUCUUCUCUUCUCUUUUCUUCCCUUCUCUUCUUCUCUUCUUUUCUCUUCUCCUCUCCUCUCCUCUCUUCUUCUCUUCUCUUUUCUUCCCUUCUCUUCUUCUCUUCUCUUCUCCUCUCCUCUCCUCUCUUCUUCUCUUAUCUUCUUCUCUUCUUCUCUUCUUCCCUUCUCUUCUUCUCUUCUCUUCCCUUCCCUUCUCUUCUUCUCUUCUCUUCUCUUCUCCUCUCCUCUCCUCUCUUCUUCUCUUCUCUUAUCUUCUUCUCUUCUUCUCUUCUCCUCUUCUCUUCUUCUCUUCUCUUUUCUUCUUCUCUUCUCUUCUC
rnacentral:lncRNA from 1 species